rnacentral:rRNA from 1 species
GAUGAACGCUAGCUACAGGCUUAACACAUGCAAGUCGAGGGACCGGCGCACGGGGGAGUAACACGGAUCCAACCUGCCCUUUACUCGGGGAUAGCCUUUCGCAAGACAGAUUAAUACCCGAUGUAAAGGAUGGGGAUGCGUUCCCUUAGGUUGUUGGUGAGGUAACGGCUCACCAAGCCUUCGAUGGAUAGGGGUUCUGAGAGGAAGUUCCCCCACAUUGGAACUGAGACACGGUCCAAACUCCUACUGGAGGCAGCAGGGAGGAAUAUUGGUCAAUGGGCGUUAGCCUGAACCAGCCAAGUAGCGUGAAGGAUGAAGGCUUAUGGGUCGUAAACUUCUUUUAUAUAAGAAUAUGUAUUAUAUGAAUAAGGAUCGGCUAACUCCGUGCCAGCAGCCGCGGUAAUUC